UCGGCUGGUGGCUUGAGUCGGCUCGGCUUAGAUUUGAGCUAAAUUGCGAUUCAGUGGGUUAAUGGUGGCCUGGUCGGUGGGGAGUUGGAGAAGAAUGUUACUGGCGGUGGUGGAAGAGGGAGAAGAGAAGGUUAUUGGUGGUGGAGGUGAAAGAGAGGGUUGUUGCUGGUGAUGGUGGAGAUGAAAGGGGGAGGAGAGAGAUGGUGGUUGUGUUGAUGAAAUAGAAGAAGAAGAAGAAGAAGAAGAAGAAGAAGAAGAAGAAGAAGAAGAAGAAGAAGAUUGAAGGAGAUAUGGCGGUGGUGUGAUCUGGUGGUGGCUGGUCGUGGAGGAGGG
rnacentral:lncRNA from 1 species